UACGAAGGGGGCUAGCGUUGUUCGGAAUUACUGGGCGUAAAGCGCACGUAGGCGGAUAUUUAAGUCAGGGGUGAAAUCCCGGGGCUCAACCUCGGAACUGCCUUUGAUACUGGGUAUCUUGAGUAUGGAAGAGGUAAGUGGAAUUGCGAGUGUAGAGGUGAAAUUCGUAGAUAUUCGCAGGAACACCAGUGGCGAAGGCGGCUCACUGGCCCGAUACUGACGCUGAGGCACGAAAGCGUGGGGAGCAAACAGG
rnacentral:rRNA from 1 species